GCAGCCUUUAAAAUUCUCUCUUUGUCCUAGGGUUUGCCAUUGUAAUUCUGAAGUAUCUUGGUGUGGGUCUUUUCUGGUUCAUCUUGUUUGGGACCUCUGCUUAUGUGACUUUUUUCUUCUCCAAAUCAGGGAAGUUUUCUGACAUUAUUUCUUCAAAUAGGUUUUCUAACCUUGUUCCUCUUCUUGUCAUUCUGGCACACCUAUUAUUCAUAUAUUCCUCCAUUUCAUGUUGUCCCAAAGCUCACUUGGGUUCUCUUCCUGUCUUUUAAUUUUUUUCUCCUAUUGCAGUUCAGAUUGUGUGUGUUAUGCUUCCCUGUCUUCUAAUUUGCUAAUUCAGUCCUCCGCUUCUCCUAGUUUACUGUUGAAACUUUCCAUACUGUUUUUUAUUGUAGCUAUAUCACUCUUUAUUUCCUCUUGAUUCUUACAUAAGUUGUUGAUUUUUUUCAUCCAUCUGGUUUUUCAUGCUUAUUGCAUAAGUUGUUGAUUUUCUC